UGUAAGUGUUUUCAAUGUAGUGUUCU
rnacentral:piRNA from 1 species